GAACCAAGCCAAGAUCCACAGUUCCCGACACUUCCCUAGGUGAUGCUGCAGGUCGUAUGAGUCUGUGUGUGAUCAUUUUUGCCUGAGCUAAAGGAAAGAUAUUUGGACUCUGAGGUGGGGGUGGGGAAAGCUUCUGGGCAAACUCGGGGUGUCCCCUCUAGGCGCUUAGCAGGUUUGUGUUCUCAAAGAUCGGUUAUCUCUAGGGAAGGGGGCGUGGCUGCCCUGGGGGCUUGCCUCGUCGGAGGCGCGGUGUAGAGGCGGACCCAGAGAUUGAUGGAGCUACCGCGACUAUCAUCUGAGCCGCCCGGUUAGGCGUCGCCCGGUUGGCGCUCCAGGCAAGCUUCUGGCUUUGGUGCGGCAGCAGCGAGUCCUGAUGUGUUCCCAUAUCGUUGUCGUCAUUGCUUGCGCACAGACGGCUCUUAGACCCUGAUAAGAACAUCCUCAUCUUCCCCGGUUGUCAUGGCUCCAGACUCACGGUAAAGUCUGACUGAUAUGAUACUCCAUGGGAACAUUUGUUCCAUGCUUGAAAGCCCUAGUUGGGGAUUUUUUUUUAAUCCCUUCAUCAUGGGGCCUCACUAAGCAGUUUAUUCACAAAGCAUGAAGGAGAAAGGGGGAAGAAGAGAAGAGAGGAGAGCAGAGAUGAGGCACCUGGAGAGGGUGGUGGUGGAAAGUGGGCACUGGCCCCAGUGUGUGUACUGAUGUUACCCAUGCCAUAUCCUCCCUCAUCUUUCACAAUGAAGAGGCCAAGUGCUUCCCCUCCCAGGGCCACCUCCAUUCACUCCAGCUCUGUGGAUGUGGAAGACUCACACUUGAUGCUACUCCUGAUGGUCCCACCUCCCCGAGGCUCGCCGAGCUGAAUUACUUUUCCGUGGAGUGGCCUCUCUCUCUGACUGUUCUGUCUUUGCAGAGAUGACCCUGCCAGGGGAGGAGCACACUCAAAGAUAACAGUGAACCCGAUGAAAGUGAUAGUUUUGCCAAGGUCAGGCCCCCCUCAUCAUCAGUAUGAACUGUAACUUCCAGAACCCCUGGAAGAGUUCUACAGUUUUGGCAAAUCCAUCUGUGAGUACUUUGGGCACGGGGACCCAAGCAGCUAUACUCAAGGAAGCCAGUCCGUCUGGGCUACAAGAUUUGCUGUGGGACGACCAGCAGAGGCUACCUGGUGUGGUUUCAACCUUCACAGGGCACUCUGUUCACCAAGGACAGAGGCUUGGAUGUAGGGGCCAGUAUGGUGGUCAGAUUUGUGGAUGCACUUCAGGAGUGUGGCUGCCUGCCAUGUCACAUAUUCCUUGAUAAGGUCUUUACAAGUGUCAAACCGAUGUCCAUUUUGAGGGAAAAGGGGGUGAAAGCCACAGGAACUGUUUGUGAGUACAGGACUGAGUGCUGUCCCCUCAAGGAUGCCAAAGAAUUGAGGAAAAUGAGAAAGGGCUCUUUUGACUACAGGGUGGAUGAAAGCCAGGAGAUCAUUGUGUGCCGCUGGAGCAACAGCCACGUGGUAAACAUCUGCUCCAACGCGGUGGGCAUAGAGCCAGUCAGACACCCAGCCACCACCUGAGAGCAGCCAAAGCUCAGACACAGGUCCACCAACCAUCCCUGGUGAAGCUUGAUCAGGAAAAGGCCAGAGGGGCUGGAGAGAUGGCUCAGUGGUUAAGAGCACUGACUGCUCUUCCAGAGGUCCUGAGUUCAAAUCCCAGCAACCACAUGGUGGCUCACAACCAUCUGUAACAGGGAUCCGAUGCCCUCUUCUGGUGUGUCUGAAGACAGCUACAGUGUAUUCAUAUACAUGAAAUAAACAAAAUCUUAAAAAAAGAAAAAAAAAAUGGAAAAGGCCAGAGGGGUUGGCCGAAUGGACCAGAACAUCGCCAAGUAUAAGGUGAAGAUCCGGGGCAUGAAGAGGUACCUGAGCUUCAUCGGCUACAUCAUCGACGCAGCCCUCAACAAUGCGUGGCAGCUGCAUAGGGUGUGCUGCCAGGACGGGCACGUGGACCUACAUUCCUUCCGCAGCUACGUGGCCCGCGUGUAUCUGGAGAGCAAUGUGGACACAUCCUCACCCGGGAGGCGGAGCCGGUGGGUGGAAACUGAGAACCGCUUCAAUAUGAUUGGACACUGGAUUGUCCAUUAAGACAAAAGGACCCAGUGUGCCCUCUGCCACUCACAGACCAACACCUGCUGUGAAAAGUGCCAGAAGGGUGUCCAUACUUUUUCCAGCUACAGUGACAUCACCAGGAACACUUGUGGGUUUUCUUUGUAGCAUUUUUGACACCCAUUACUAAUGCCUUGGUUUUGUAUUCUCUCCCAGGCCCCAUCACAGUUCUCUUUUUAAUUUUGUAUUCUAUUAUGCCUAUGUGUCAUGUAAAUUAGUAUUUAUGUUAGUAACUGCACAUGUUUGUAGACUUGUAUUUACACUCUAACUUCUUUAAACUGAUUCAAAUAAAAGUUUUCCUGUAGUAUG